ensembl:lncRNA
GGCCUUUGAGCCCUUCACAGGAAAGUCAAAGGGAGCUGGGCCAUGCCGUGUAUAGAAAGUGGCAGAAGCGUUCAGACUACACACUGCUUGUUUUAGUGCCUCUGAAAAUAGAAGAAUGAGAUAAAGGAGAGGGAACAUGAUUUAGAAAAAACACUCCUCCAGCACUUCAAUGUUAUGAUUCUACACAUGACUUUUCUACAUUAAAAUUCUCCCCUACUCCUUGCUCCUACUCUAAAGGUGCCACCCUUUUCUUUGCCUGCCAGAAAGUAACUGCAGAAGUAAAUUUCAAAGAACUGAAAAAGAGUGAAAAAAAAAAGCAUCAUACAUAUUAAUAAGCCCGAAACAAUAUUCUACUAACAGUAUUCUACAAACAGACUACUAUUAUUCCUUUACAUCAAAAGAAAAUACGAAACAUGAGCCUGAGAAACUACAAAUGUGAAAGUGAAAAGUGCACAAAUGGUAUGUGACAGAAGAAAGUUUCUGAAAGAGCAAAAAGAAUAAAAAAGACACAAAGGUAGAAGCACAUCGCAAUGGUAAGUGGUAUAUGCCUACUAAUGGGUAGCAGAUAUAUCAGCCCCUAAACAAAAGAUAUGUAGGGUUACUCAGCCUGUAGGCAGCCAUUAUGAUCCCAUAUAGGGAUUCUUAGUUUUAACCACACUUUAAUACGAGAGGAGGGAAGUCGGAAAUGACAAAAGUUAGAGGAAUACAGCAGGGAAAGUUGUUAUUCAUGAAGCUACUCAAAAGGUCAAAUGCCUGUCCAAGCCAUUCUACAGUCAGCUGUAAAACACUAUGGCAUGUUACUCCACAAGAAGAUCAAGUAGAUGAAGAACAUGUCUAGAAAAAGUCAUGCUCUCGAUGUGGGUUGAGAGUAUUGCAAUCUGGUCCAUGAUGUGUUAGAAUGUACUUGAAGCAGACUGACAGCACCACCUGUUCACACUGCCCAGUAUUUUAGCUAAUAGCUUUAUUGAGUACUAUCAGAACAGAUUUUAAAGAAAAAUGUAUGGAAUCAAAUCCCUUUUAGCUUGCAGACAUCUUGUACAGUCUGUGCAGUGAUGAAACUAUACUGGAAUUCCUGCCUAACAAAAGAUCACCAUCUUCAGGACUUCAGCACAAGACAACUGAAAACCAGAUGAGGUCAUUCCUUUAUCUAUCUGCAAACCCUGUUAGUUUAGAAUCAAUAUGUGACAAAAGCACAGAAGCAUACAGUCUGAUCAGACUCUGCAUUCCUUUAUACCAUACCAUUGUACUGAAUCACGCUCAAAGAAACAUGUCUACAUUGGUUUCAGCCAUUAUUUUGGUAAACAAACAAACAAACAAACAAGAAAGGCAUAAUGAAGAGUUGACUACAAUAAUAACAAAUAAUAGUACUGAGCAAUAUAAACUCUCUCAUAUAAACUCUCACAUGUGCUGUAAAAAGAUAUGUUUACUCAGUUUUAGCAGAAUUAUCGCUUAUCCUCAUGUAUUUAUUUAACUUUCUCAAAUUAAACUUGGAAGAAUCAGGAUAAUACCAAAAUUCCUUUUUGUAAUAAUUUGGUUAUAAUCUGUAAGAGUGAAGGACCAGGACUGAUUUUGGAGACCACAUCUGUGAAGUCUUGAGUUUAGUCGCAAAAGAUCUAAAAAGCAUAUUGAAGGAUGAAAAUUCAGAGUACUUAUGUGUAUGAAUGAACCUUUCAAGUUCAAGACACUUUAAUUUUCAUGAAGACAUGCAUGAAAAAAUCAAACAAAAGCUAUGUUUUAGAAAUUCCAAAAUAAGUUGUAUCUUUAGUUAUCAAACUAAGUACUACUUCUGUACAGCUUUAAUAAUAGUGGGGAUGUAAUUAAUAAUCACAAUGAAGUGAUACCAAAAGAUACCAUUGUUAAACCACAGAAAGUCAUGUUUCAAUGAUAAGUGCAAUGUUUAAUAAAAGAGAUCCUCAGUUAUGUAUAAACUCAGAAAUCUUGCCGUUUUAAUGGAGAAAUACAGAAUACUACCUGCUGACUAUUAAAAGCAGUUCCCUAGGGCAAUCCAAAACUAAAUGUUUUUGUGCAACACUUCAUAGUCAGAACUUGACUGUACGUGAAAAUAGGCCUCAGGGCAGUAACACACUUCACCAAAUUUCCCUCAGUGAAUGCAGGCUGGAUUUGUUCUUUCUGACAUACAGAUAAAACAGAAUGAUUACUUCUCUAUUCAGAACAGAAGCAAUGUAUUGGUUUUGGUUUUUAAAGAUGCACUGAAGACACUGAGGUUGUUUUUUUAUAAAUGGUCACUUAAUGUCAGCAUUGGUAACCUUAUCUCAAAUGAUCUCUGUUUAGAGCUAACAAUAGAAAAGGAAAACUUGACAGAAGUAAUGUUUGUUGAGUGGUAUGCAAAGAAAUGCAGAUCUUUGUUGUUCUUCCCCAACAGUCAGCUACAAAAAUAAGUCUGAUGAAACUGCACUAGAUCCAGGAGCAUCAUACAUAUUAAUCAUACUGAAUCAAUAAGGACCUAAUCCUGCUUUCCUUUAAGUAAAUGGUAACGCUUCUUGAUUUCAGUCAUAGCUCAGUGUUGGUUUCCUAAAUACAACAAAGUGAAAGGGCUUUGAAAAUGAAGAAGAAAUAUAGUGCAUGUCUCAUUCAAAAAACUAAGAAGUUAUUUACCAACAGUAUGCAUAAAUGAGCUUAUAAAAUGUCAACAAGACAGAAGGAGAACUGUAUAUCUGUGGCAAAAUACAUGAACAAAUUACACCUCUAUUAAAAUAAAGAGAUUUUGUGGGUGGGAUUGUUUCCUGGUUUAUUUACCAAAGGUUUAUCUCCUCUGUUGUGAAGUUCCCACUCUUAAAUAUUUUAUGGAUCUGAAAUCACCUUGAGGUCUGUAAGCUAUUCUUUGCCUCUUUUCAGGAAAAGAAGCCACAAGAAAGAAAUAAGAUGAUUCAAUGUAGAUUUUGAAUUAAAUUUUACAUUUCUCUUAGUGUUCUCUAUUUGGAGAAGAGUUUCAUAAGUAUGUAAGUAUUGUUCUUGCUGAGGGUGGACACUAUCCCCUCAUCAAGGUCAUCAAUGAAGAUACUGAACAAGACCAGACCCAGCACCAAUCCCUGGGGAACAUCAGUAGUUAAAGGUCUUUAAUCGGACUCUGCACCACCCAUCACUACCCUCUGAGCUUGUCCAGUCAGCCAGUUCUCA